UCUCCCUCUCUCUCUCACGGCGCUCUCUCUCCUCUCUAGGCACAGUCCCUUCAGACAGCACAAGACCAAAGACAAACACGAGAUUGACCGCAUGACGCUCACUAUGAACGUGGAGUUGCCAGACUCGUUCUCUGUGGAGCUGAAGGGUCUGUUGGAGGGUCUGCUGCAGAGAGACGUGGCCAAGAGACUGGGCUGCUUGGGACGAGGGGCCCCAGAGGUGAAGGAGCAUCUGUUCUUCAAAGGCAUCGACUGGCAGCAAGUGUAUCUUCAGAAGGUAAGCCUUAGAGUGUGUGUGAUGAAUCGGGAGAACAGGUUCGUUAUAAAGCCUGCCCGUCUGGACAUUCGGCUAUCUCUCUCUCUCUCUCAGUGCUCGAUCAGUUGCCAUGGUUACUCCUCUGCUGAAGGAAUUGAGUAGUUGUUGUUUUGUUUACUCGCCCUCUUUUU